UUGUCGUUGGCCCGCCCCAGGCUGCGGUGUUCGGUGCCGGCGAAGGCGACGCGCCCCGCCUGGAGCGGUUCCGCGUCCGCCACGGCGGC
rnacentral:tRNA from 1 species